rnacentral:snoRNA from 1 species
CUGCAGCUAAUUAAGCCGAUCAGGUUCCUUUCCUCAUGGGGGUCUGGUGUGCAAUGGCUGCAAACAGCAACCUCCUUGGUAGUGAAUACAGCCUGUUGCAUGUAUGGGCUGCCCUAAGGGACCUUGGAGAGUUUU